UUAGGCAUUUUACCGUUUCACAUCACAAGGGCAAGUACAAGUUAUUUUGAGAGACCACAUUCAUAUAACUUUCAUUACAGUGUACUGCUAUAAUUGUCCAACUUUAUUGUUAUUAAUCUCUUCCUGUGCCUAACAUACACUUUAUCAUAGGAUGGGAUUGUUUCCAGAAGAAAGAUCCACAUGAAGGCUCUGCAUUAACAGGGAGCAGCACCUCCAUAGACCUGAGAUUAGGAUGGCCAGAGCACAAAUGAGGCCCCCGGAUCACGUGAGCCCGCCUCCAGCUCCGGGCGGAAGAGGCCGGCCGGGCUGAUGGGAAACGCUGCCGGAGGCGAGGGGCGGGCGCUCGUGCCCGGCUGAAAGAUGGCUGCCGCCGCUCGGCAGCCGCCGCCCCGGAGGUGACUCUAGGGCCUACAGCUUCCCUCCGUUCCCGCAGGCCGCCGCCGCCUCCUUACCAUGAAGCCAGUGAGUCGCCGCACCCUGGACUGGAUUUAUUCAGUGUUGCUCCUCGCAGUCGUAUUGCUCUCCUGGGGAUAUGUCAUCUAUGCAUCGACAGUAGCUGCACGACGACAGCUAAGCAAGGAAUACCCAGACAGAUCUUGGGGAUGAAUAUUUGUAAUUCCUCUGGAUUUAAUGCUGUUCACAUAGUUCUUUACCUGAUGCUUCCCUGGCACGUGUCUAGAUAUAAAGUAAAAUCCAUUAUGCGAUGCUUAUAAAUUUAUUUUUGCGUAGUCCUUUAUAAUCACCACCAAUCUAAUUCUCACAGAGGUUUUCUUUUACAUUCUUAUAUAAAACAAACCAACCUAGAUCUGACAGCAUGUUGAGUACUGGACCAUAGAUGGAAUGACAUGCUUUUCAACCUAGAGCUUCUAAAGUACCUCUUAAAAUGCCUCAGUCUUCUUUAAAACAGUCUGUGGAAUUGCUGUUCUUAUACUUGUUUAUUGCAACAUUUCAUUCUGUUGCAUACCUUCACAUAAGAUUAAGUACCAUGUAAGAAAAAAAAACUGGCAUGUGACUACUUUCUACAUCCUGUUUUUCAAGUCAAGAAUGGUCAGAAAAAGGUAAUCACUCAUAUUUUUUUGGCUUGUCCAGUUUUUACUUAUUGUUAAAUAACUCAAAGAGUUGCAAAUUGUACAAUAUUUGUGAAGAAAUAGACCACACAUAUCUCAGAGUAAACUUUAUUACUUUUCCAGAAAAUAUAUUCAGUAAAUACAGUAAUGCAUCAAUAAACGUGGCCUCAUAUGCCUUUGAAA